AGGGCUAAACUUUAGAUUUUUGAACUUCCAGGACCCUUUAAAAGAAGAUGGAUCAGUUCAAGGACUAAAAGCAUAAUUAAUCCUAAAUUUAUUUUUUUUAUCCAAAAUAAAUUUUAUGUCCAAGCUUCUAUAUUUCAUAUUAUUGGGACCCCCAAGCAACAAAUCUAACUCAUUUUUGCUUAUAUGGUGAUUCUAAAUAUGUCCUCUUCUUGGAAAUUUGUAUGCCACAACUUCAUCUCACCUUACCCUCUCACCAUCUAAUCAAAAGAAGCCUUUAGAAGGACCAACCACUAUCAUGGAUUUCAUAUAUCCACCU
rnacentral:lncRNA from 1 species